rnacentral:rRNA from 1 species
CCUACGGGUGGCAGCAGUGGGGAAUAUUGGACAAUGGGCGAAAGCCUGAUCCAGCCAUGCCGCGUGUGUGAAGAAGGCCUUCGGGUUGUAAAGCACUUUCAGUGGGGAAGAAAGCCUUGGGGCUAAUACCCUCGAGGAAGGACAUCACCCACAGAAGAAGCACCGGCUAACUCCGUGCCAGCAGCCGCGGUAAUACGGAGGGUGCGAGCGUUAAUCGGAAUUACUGGGCGUAAAGCGCGCGUAGGCGGUCUGAUAAGCCGGGUGUGAAAGCCCCGGGCUCAACCUGGGAACGGCAUCCGGAACUGUCAGGCUAGAGUGCAGGAGAGGAAGGUAGAAUUCCCGGUGUAGCGGUGAAAUGCGUAGAGAUCGGGAGGAAUACCAGUGGCGAAGGCGGCCUUCUGGACUGACACUGACGCUGAGGUGCGAAAGCGUGGGUAGCAAACAGGAUUAGAUACCCCGGUAGUC